rnacentral:rRNA from 1 species
AAUGGGCGGAAGCUGAUGCAGCAACGCCGCGUGCGGGAUGACGGCCUUCGGGUUGUAAACCGCUUUCACCCAUGACGAAGCGCGAGUGACGGUAGUGGGGGAAGAAGCACCGGCCAACUACGUGCCAGCAGCCGCGGUGAUACGUAGGGUGCGAGCGUUGUCCGGAAUUAUUGGGCGUAAAGAGCUUGUAGGCGGUUGAUCGCGUCGAUAGUGAAAUCCCGGGGCUCAACCUCGGGCUUGCUGUCGAUACGGGUUGACUUGAGGAAGGUAGGGGAGAAUGGAACUCCCGGUGGAGCGGUGGAAUGCGCAGAUAUCGGGAAGAACACCGGUGGCGAAGGCGGUUCUCUGGACCUUUCCUGACGCUGAGAAGCGAAAGCGUGGGGAGCAAACAGGCUUAGAUACCCUGGUAGUCCACGCUGUAAACGGUGGGUACUAGGUGUGGGUCGCAUUCCACGUGAUCCGUGCCGUAGCCAACGCAUUAAGUACCCCGCCUGGGGAGUACGGCCGCAAGGCUAAAACUCAAAGGAAUUGACGGGGCCCCGCACAAGCGGCGGAGCAUGCGGAUUAAUUCGAUGCAACGCGAAGAACCUUACCUGGGUUUGAC